rnacentral:rRNA from 1 species
CACGGAGUUAGCCGGUGCUUCUUCUGCGGGUAACGUCAAUCGACGCGGUUAUUAACCACAUCGCCUUCCUCCCCGCUGAAAGUACUUUGCAACCCGAAGACCUUCUUCAUACACGCGGCAUGGCUGCAUCAGGCUUGCGCCCAUUGUGCAAUAUUCCCCA